rnacentral:rRNA from 1 species
UACACUCCUACGGGAGGCAGCAGUGGGGAAUAUUGCACAAUGGGCGCAAGCCUGAUGCAGCCAUGCCGCGUGUAUGAAGAAGGCCUUCGGGUUGUAAAGUACUUUCAGCGGGGAGGAAGGCGAUAAGGUUAAUAACCUUGUUGAUUGACGUUACCCGCAGAAGAAGCACCGGCUAACUCCGUGCCAGCAGCCGCGGUAAUACGGAGGGUGCAAGCGUUAAUCGGAAUUACUGGGCGUAAAGCGCACGCAGGCGGUCUGUCAAGUCGGAUGUGAAAUCCCCGGGCUCAACCUGGGAACUGCAUUCGAAACUGGCAGGCUAGAGUCUUGUAGAGGGGGGUAGAAUUCCAGGUGUAGCGGUGAAAUGCGUAGAGAUCUGGAGGAAUACCGGUGGCGAAGGCGGCCCCCUGGACAAAGACUGACGCUCAGGUGCGAAAGCGUGGGGAGCAAACAGGAUUAGAAACCCGAGUAGUCCC